CGGCGCGUGGCGGGGGACCUUUGCGGUCAAGAACUUGGYGGGCCAGGGCUGCCAGGCACACGGUGACCUCCUACAAAGUGUGGCUGGGACAGUUCCAGGCAGUGAGCAUUCACCCGGCCCAGCCCCCUCCUGGGAAUGAGCAGAGCCUGGCCCCCUGGAGUCUGUGGCGGAGGAAAAUGCUUUGCCACAGAGGACCAGAAUUCGUCUGCCAUGCUGGGUGCCCCCUUUGCAGCACUACUAUUGUGCUUAGGAGCCACAAUUAAGUAAAAUAAGGCCACCUAAAYACCAUGAUGGUCAAUGUGACAUGACAGUCUGCCGGGACGGUUGCCAACAGGCAGGUAGCAUAUAGAGCAURGAUACACUGGACAAGGAGAUGAUUCGCAGCUCUGCCAGGAAGGAGCAGGACAGUGCCAGAUCUCAUCCCAGACACAAUUUAAACUUACAAAUUGUCUAUUUCUGGAAUUUUCCAUUUAGUAUUUUUGGACCACAGUUGACUUAAGAUAACCGAAACUGGGGAUAUGAAACCAUAAACAUGCCGGGGGUGGGGGGACUGACUGUCCAGUAUUAGUAGCCUCUGGCUGCCAUAACAACGUGUCGCAAAGGAGGCUCUGAGAGAGAAUCUGUCCCCCACCUCUCUCUGAACUUCUGGUGGUUUUCUCUGGUCUUUGGUGAUCCUUGGCUUGUAGAAACAUCUCCUGCUGAGCCUCCCCCUCCACGGGAACUUUUCUAUGUGUACGUGUGUGUGUGACGGCAUGGACCUGGAGUGUCCCCCACGGGCUCAAGUGUGGAGGCUUGGUCCCGGGUACGACAGGGUUCAGAGGUGCGGCUCUUGGGGAAUGAAUGGAUCAUGGGGCUCUGACCCUCAGGAUCCACCGAUGGAUUCACAAAUUAAUGGUGUGGUUGGGAGGCGGUGGGAACUGGAGGGAGGUGCCUAGUGGAGGAAGCUGGUCACUGGGCAGUGGCCCCUUCCUCCCUGGUACCCAGCUUUCAUGAGCUGUCCGACUUCCUGGCCGCACCCGUCACCUUCUACCUCAAUGCCUGCCUCACUCAGGCCACUGGGGACCGAAAACUUGGAAACUGUGGACUGAAAUAGAUCUUUUCUCCUCUAAGCUGAUUUUCUGAGGUCUUUGUCACAGCGAUAAAAAGCUAAGGAGGGUCCAGAUUUCUGUCUUCUAGGGUCCAUCCGCCUACCUGGGCGGCAGAGCACUGGCCGCAGACACAACACCGGGUUCCAUCCCCAGCUCUUCCCUCCUACGAGGACACACUGGGCUCAGAGCCCACCUGAUACUUCAUCUUGACCACAGCAAAGACCCUGUUUCCAGUGGGGGAGGGCAGGACUUGGACGUCUUUGGGGGGAGGUAGCUGACCUGUAAGUGGGAACCAGCUGGUGUGCACUUGGGGUGAGGAGAACGGGCCACGGAGACAGCAUCUCCCCAGAGUCUGCCCUCGACCUCGGCCAGGACAGGAGCCGCCACAGACACCCGCGAGGAAACGCAUCAAAGCCCAGCCCGGAGCCACCGCCRACUCAGGGACCCGACCUGGGCCAGGCACCUGCUGAGGCCACACCCCAGGGUGCAGGGAAGGAGAACGGGGCUGGGAAAGGAGCACCUGGAGAACCAGGGGGCUGGGGUGAGGGAGGGAGGCUGAAGGGGCCUCACUCCCGGGACCCAGAUGUCACUCAGACGCUGGGGAGAUGCACAGAUGGUGAAUGGGAUCCCGAGACCCUGAGGRCCUGGAGCCCGGUGGGGCCAGGCAGAGAGCCCAGGGCUCUGAGUGACAGGGACACCCAUCUGGCCUCGAGGAACCGGGGUCCCGGCACAGGCCCUGGGUCCAGAGAAACAGAAGGGUGUGACGCACACUCGCUGCCUUGGGAAGAGCAGGGACCGCCCCCCGCCCCACCGCCCCGGGCUCGCCCAGACCCAGGCAGAGGACCUGGGGUCGGGAGAGCAGGCCCAGCAGAAGCUCAGAAACACCUUCCAGGAAAAUGGGUGGGAAAGAGCCGUCCCUGGGGGUGGGAUGCAGGAACGCCGAGGUCCGGCUGCUGAGGAGGCAGGACGGUCCGGCACAGGUAGUGCCCAGUGAACGUUGGCAARUCUGGAUAUUUCUUCAGUGACUCGGCGCCCAGUGAACAGGCGGAACUUCCGUUUUCCUCUGGUCAUUGCUGAUCUGAACGUGACAGAGAUGGGGCGGAUCUGCCUUUAACAUCCAUUACAGUUUAAGGGAUUU